GAACUAAUUUCAGUUUUUCCCUUUAUAAUAUAAGGAGAUGCACAUAAAAAUCUAAGUUUACCUAGCACCAAAUUUCCAGUUUUUUCAGAUAUGUUUUGUGCCACUUAUAGAUUCAUGCAUGGGUAGCUGUCCAAGCAAUCCAACAAAGAGUGGGUUAGUUGAAAGUGGAACAAGGGAAAUCAAGACCAUCAUGGAGUCUUCCAGAGAAAGGCAAGUGAAA
rnacentral:lncRNA from 1 species